rnacentral:misc_RNA from 1 species
UCCGGCUUUCACCGGCUGUCUCCUUAGAGAGCCCAACAUUACUUGCUGGCAACUAAGGAUAAGGGUUGCGCUCGUUGCGGGACUGAACCCAACAUCUCACGACACGAGCUGACGACAACCAUGCACCACCUGUCACCAUUGCCCCGAAGGGAACCUCUAUCUCUAGAGGGGUCAAUGGGAUGUCAAGCCUUGGUAAGGUUCUUCGCGUUGCUUCGAAUUAAACCACAUGCUCCACCGCUUGUGCGGGCCCCCGUCAAUUCCUUUGAGUUUCAGCCUUGCGGCCGUACUCCCCAGGCGGAGUGCUUAUUGGGUUUCCUUCGGCACUGAGGACGUGAUGCCCCCAACACCUAGCACUCAUCGUUUACGGCGUGGACUAC